rnacentral:rRNA from 1 species
UACAGAGGGUGCAAGCGUUAAUCGGAGUUACUGGGCGUAAAGGGCGCGUAGGUGGUUGUAUAAGUGAGAUGUGAAAUCCCUGGGCUUAACCUAGGAACUGCAUCUUAUACUGUAUAGCUAGAGUACUGUAGAGGGUAGUGGAAUUUCCGGUGUAGCGGUGAAAUGCGUAGAGAUCGGAAGGAACACCAGUGGCGAAGGCGACUACCUGGACCAGCACUGACACUGAGGCACGAAAGCGUGGGGAGCAAACAGG